rnacentral:lncRNA from 1 species
UUCAGCUCAUCCCUGCGUUUAAUCAGAUUCUCAAUUCUUUUCUUCAGACCAUCAAUGUGAAGGUUGAGCACCAUAAUGUCAUCAUUAAGUUUUUCCUCAGAUUUUGACAGUUUAUCAACCUGAACCUUUAAAUUGUAGUUCUCUUCACUUAGCUUCUCCUUCUCCUUCAAAUGAUUUGCCUUCUGGGUCCUAAUGACCCUGCCUUGAGCUUCUGCCAGGUUCAUAAGCACUGAAUACUUCCCUUUAACUUCCAUUAUCUCUGCCUCUUUCUUCUCAAUCUCAGACUUCAUGACAGACACAACAGAACUAGAGCUCUCUGCACCAUGGACAUUCACCUUCAUAUAGCUCAAAUCCAUGACCCUCUCCUCCUGGGCAUUGAGCAGUUGAUUCACAUCUUCUACUAGCUUGUCAUAGUUUGCAUCAAGAUUUCUUUUCUCCUUUGUGAGGUGGUGAAUUUUCAGUGAAUUCUCCAAAUUAUCAUCGCUCCUACCACUCUUGUUGUCUUCCAA